rnacentral:pre_miRNA from 1 species
UCCACAGAAGUCAAGACCCAAGAUUGGGUUGGGUCUCACCCAAUCUUGGGUCUUGACUUCUUGAGCC